rnacentral:rRNA from 1 species
AUUGAACGCUGGCGGCAUGCCUUACACAUGCAAGUCGAACGGCAGCACGGGAGCAAUCCUGGUGGCGAGUGGCGAACGGGUGAGUAAAGUAUCGGAACGUGCCCAGUCGUGGGGGAUAACGUAGCGAAAGUUACGCUAAUACCGCAUACGAUCUAUGGAUGAAAGCGGGGGAUCGCAAGACCUCGCGCGAUUGGAGCGGCCGAUAUCAGAUUAGGUAGUUGGUGGGGUAAAGGCUCACCAAGCCGACGAUCUGUAGCUGGUCUGAGAGGACGACCAGCCACACUGGGACGGAGACGCGGCCCAGACGCCUACGGGAGGCAGCAGUGGGGAAUUUUGGACAAUGGGCGAAAGCCUGAUCCAGCCAUGCCGCGUGCAGGAUGAAGGCCUUCGGGUUGUAAACUGCUUUUGUACGGAACGAAAAGGUUUGGCCUAAUAAGCUGAGCUCAUGACGGUACCGUAAGAAUAAGCACCGGCUAACUACGUGCCAGCAGCCGCCGUAA